CUAACAAGGAUUCCCCCAGUAACGGCGAGUGAAGCGGGAAGAGCUCAAGCUUAAAAUCUCCAUACUUGUAUGGCGAAUUGUAGUCUAUUGAGGCUGUUGUCAGCAUCGCGAUUGGGGACAAGUCCCUUGGAAAAGGGCAGCAUAGAGGGUGAUACUCCCGUCUCUGCUCCAAUCUGCGGUGUGUACGAUACGCUUUCUUUGAGUCGAGUUGUUUGGGAAUACAGCUCAAAGUAGGUGGUAAAUUCCAUCUAAAGCUAAAUAUUGGUGCGAGACCGAUAGCGAACAAGUACCGUGAGGGAAAGAUGAAAAGAACUUUGAAAAGAGAGUUAAAGAGUACCUGAAACUGUUGAAAGGGAACCGUAUCGUUUCCAGUGUUGUAUCCUGUGCAUAUUUCAUUCGCGGAGUAAUUUGCGGGUGCCCUGUGCAUGGGUGUGACGUCAGGGUCAGUUUGUAUGCUGCGGGAGAUGGUCAGUGAGGAGGUGCGUCACUUCGGUGAAAGUUAUAUCUCGCUGUCUAGUAGCCGUGGUUGAGACUGAGGUGCCUACAACAUGCCUUAAGGUUCCGUGUUGUCUCGUGUUGGUGACUGCUUUGAUAGCUUGCUAUGUCUGUGGUUUAUUAGUGCGAUUGAUGAUGCGGAUAACUUUUGCUGUUCGGGACUCUGGCGAAAUGGAGCGAUACGACCCGUCUUGA
rnacentral:rRNA from 1 species